AGUUGAUCCUGGCUUAGGAUGAACGCUAGCUACAGGCUUAACACAUGCAAGUCGAGGGGCAGCAUGAUCUUAGCUUGCUAAGAUUGAUGGCGACCGGCGCACGGGUGAGUAACGCGUAUCCAACCUUCCCCUUAGUAGGGCAUAGCCGGUGAAAAUCGGAUUAAUACCCUAUGUUGUGUCAUGAGGACAUCUGAAUAACACUAAAGAUUGAUCGCUAAGGGAUGGGGAUGCGUCCGAUUAGGUAGUCGGCGGGGUAACGGCCCACCGAGCCCUCGAUCGGUAGGGGUUCUGAGAGGAAGGUCCCCCACACUGGUACUGAGACACGGACCAGACUCCUACGGGAGGCAGCAGUGAGGAAUAUUGGUCAACGGGCGAGAGCCUGAACCAGCCAAGUAGCGUGCAAGGAUGACGGCCCUAUGGGUUGUAAACUGCUUUUAUAUGGGGAUAAAGUUCACUACGUGUAGUGUUUUGUAGGUACCAUAUGAAUAAGGACCGGCUAAUUCCGUGCCAGCAGCUGC
rnacentral:rRNA from 1 species